ACUUGCGAGAGUGAGUAGUGUAUCCACUACAGUGACUCCUCUUUUUUCCUGAGACGUUAGCUUUUAUGCUCUCUCGUUAUCUACUUUCCGUAGAUUCUUGUGCGAGAGACACUAUAAAUUGUGGAGGAAGGAAUACAUCUGUCCUGAAGCUAAUUGCCUUUGAUAUCUCCGGUCAUCCUUGUCUACAGCAAUGGCCUCCAUGAAAGCAGAAAGACCUCAAGGUUCCUCGCAGGCACCCAGGGUUCAGCAACCCAAGUCUGCAGGGGCGAAGCCAGCUACCACGAAGAAGGUGGCGCAGAAACCACAGGAACCGAAGAAGGUCACAGGUACAGCUAAGCCAACUCCACCUGCGAAGUGAUCCUCUUGCUGUCAUCAUGGAUGUCGCAAACAUACUAUACCUAUGGAAUAAGACGGAUGUAAGCGUUGUCAUGUAUGGAAUCUAAGAUAUAUAACAGUGAUAUAGUUUGGAGUCA